GUUGGUAUUUACAAACUUAUGACAGAUUCCAAUAACAUAUUAUUUUCAUCCUAUUUGUUAGCGAUCUGCUGCUUUUCUUUCUCUGCAAUAGCUCAUUGCUAUUCUUUGUCAUCAGAUUCGCCUUUAUCCUGUUUUCGAGUGUCUUCUUGUGCAGAUUGGUGGGAUCAGAGAAUUCAUGGUAAGAAGUGGAAUCUGUCUCUCCAUCGGUGGUAAGUCCAUACUAUUUCAAUUCCAUGAUUACUUUGAAUCCCAAGACACCAUGGACACUGUUCACAUGAUCACCAAAUGGUUCAUGGUUUCUUCAAGCACAAGAACUUACCUGUGCACACCUUUCUUUCCUCUGGUGGCCAAAGCAGCUGUUAAGUGGACUGUGCAGGAAAGGUUCCCCGCCAGCUGAAGUCUGUGGAGGGGCCAAUCCAAACAUGGUUCACUAGACUUUUUGUGAGGCAGAUAUCUUGUCCAGUGGCACAAAAAUGAGAAAUCUGAGGCAAAGCUGGUUGUCAUUGGUAGAGAAAUUACUAAUGCUGCUGGUGGUGAAAGUAAAUCCAACUUUUAUCUUCUACUGUUCUUGUCCUUGGCACAGGAUGUGAAGAGAUCUACCACGGCUUGUGUUGCUGAAAAGCUCACGCGAGGAAUCCAAAUGAGUGUUGCUGAAGCCCUUUAACUACAGACAGGAGCACUCGCACUCGCAUCAUCGGCUGCUGCUUACGACCGAGAGCAGACAAAGGACUUGGGAUCACGAGCUACUGGCGAGAGAUGCCAAUGGCCCCAUCCUACCGAGGACCGUAGCCAUGGUGUAGCGGCGGCCGUCAUCUUGGACUUGAGCAGCCGAGGGGAAGAGAGGAUGCCGGUGGAGGAAGCGUGCACGCUCCUCCACCAUCAGCCCCACCUCGUGGGACUCUCACUGCCGGACACCGAAGAAGAAGAAGGCGUGUAGCGAGUUGCAGUCGGCAUGGUAAAAAAUGAAUGGGCUUAAAAGCACGGAGAUGCCAGCAGUCAGGUGGCGCAGCGCUGCUCCACCGACCCCACGCACAGCUCAGAAGCAGCGAUAAGCUGCAGUCGCAGCACCUCGCGGUGCGCCCACUCAUCUUUAACAGGACCAAGGAGACUGGAGCCAUUUACAUGCUCUGUUAGGACUGCCUACUUUCCAUGUCAAAGUCGCUUGCUGGUACAUCGAUCAAGCCCACCAACCAUGGCAGUCGGAUUCCAACCAUCAUUUUGAACGUGAGCAUCACCAGUCAGGGAGUACAAUAAUUAGGGUGACUUCGAACCCUCAGCUCACAGUGAAGUGGGGCUGCCUUCCUCGUGGGAUGUAGUCGACCAUAAAACGAGCCGCCUCCUCCUCCUCCUCCUCCUCCGUCUACCCAGACUUUGUCGAGUAGCGGAAGCAUGCACGGAGGUGAUCAGCCUCGGGUUUGAUCCUGUCUCGCUGUCAGUAACAGAUGAAGCUUGUCGUUUCCUGGGAAGGUCUUUUGCCAUAAAUGAGAUGUCAGAAUCCAAGAAUGCUGCUGUUUUCCUCCUGGAAAGACUGAAGCCCAGCUGCGGCUCCAGACUUCAUGAACAACGUACAAGGGGCUGUGACCUUCAUGCCAGUGUACAGUUGUUGGUCGGGGCCGGUGGCAUUUGGAGGGUUAAUCGCCAGUAUUCUGCAAGUAAUGAAUCCAGGUUCUGUAGCUCUGUGGGUUGCUGGUGGGAUUCUGGGAGAACGGAACAUGGGGAGGGAGUGCAGCAACAGCAGAUGGUUACUACUGCUCGCUAUUAUCAACAGGAGAAACGAGAUGUAGGUUUGAAGGGUGCUGCCACAUGCUGUUGUACGUUGCAGAAGCCAUUAGAGCUGCUUCCACUCCUUGAUCGCGUUAUCUGUUGCUGUGUUUGCGUCCUUUUGCCAAGGACGAUGCCACACUUCCUGCUCUGGAAUUCUGAUGCUUGAGAUACAGCCACUGGACGUCGCCGUAUCUAUUUGCUGGAGAAGGAAAAGGGGAACCGGUUGUUCUUCAGCUGUAGAACACCCGUAGGAGGAGGUGGAGACUUCUGUAUACGACCGAUUCUGAAAUAAAUAUCUUAUUGUGAUA